AUUGAACGCUGGCGGCAUGCUUUACACAUGCAAGUCGAACGGUAACAGGUUAAGCUGACGAGUGGCGAACGGGUGAGUAAUGCAUCGGAACGUGCCCGAUCGUGGGGGAUAACACCUCGAAAGAAGUGCUAAUACCGCAUACGAUCUGAGGAUGAAAGCGGGGGACCGUAGGGCCUCGCGCGAUCGGAGCGGCCGAUGUCAGAUUAGGUAGUUGGUGGGGUAAAGGCUCACCAAGCCGACGAUCUGUAGCUGGUCUGAGAGGACGACCAGCCACACUGGGACUGAGACACGGCCCAGACUCCUACGGGAGGCAGCAGUGGGGAAUUUUGGACAAUGGGCGCAAGCCUGAUCCAGCAAUGCCGCGUGCAGGAAGAAGGCCUUCGGGUUGUAAACUGCUUUUGUACGGAGCGAAAAGGCUCUCUCUAAUACAGGGGGCUCAUGACGGUACCGUAAGAAUAAGCACCGGCUAACUACGUGCCAGCAGCCGCAGUAA
rnacentral:rRNA from 1 species